rnacentral:rRNA from 1 species
UACGUAGGUCCCGAGCGUUGUCCGGAUUUAUUGGGCGUAAAGCGAGCGCAGGUGGUUUUUUAAGUCUGGUGUAAAAGGCAGUGGCUCAACCAUUGUAUGCAUUGGAAACUGGUAGACUUGAGUGCAGGAGAGGAGAGUGGAAUUCCAUGUGUAGCGGUGAAAUGCGUAGAUAUACGGAGGAACACCGGUGGCGAAAGCGGCUCUCUGGCCUGUAACUGACACUGAGGCUCGAAAGCGUGGGGAGCAAACAGG